CACGUAGGGCGCAAGCGUUGUCCGGAAUUAUUGGGCGUAAAGCGCUCGUAGGCGGUCUGUUACGUCUGCUGUGAAAACCCAGGGCUUAACCCUGGGCUUGCAGUGGAUACGGGCAGACUAGAGGCAGGUAGGGGAGAAUGGAAUUCCCGGUGUAGCGGUGAAAUGCGCAGAUAUCGGGAGGAACACCGGUGGCGAAGGCGGUUCUCUGGGCCUGACCUGACGCUGAGGAGCGAAAGCGUGGGGAGCGAACAGG
rnacentral:rRNA from 1 species